UACGUAGGGGGCGAGCGUUGUCCGGAUUCAUUGGGCGUAAAGAGCUCGUAGGCGGCUUGGCAAGUCGGGUGUGAAAACUCCAGGCUCAACCUGGAGACGCCACCCGAUACUGCCAUGGCUUGAGUCCGGUAGGGGGCCACGGAAUUCCUGGUGUAGCGGUGAAAUGCGCAGAUAUCAGGAGGAACACCGGUGGCGAAGGCGGUGGUCUGGGCCGGUACUGACGCUGAGGAGCGAAAGCGUGGGGAGCGAACAGG
rnacentral:rRNA from 1 species